rnacentral:lncRNA from 1 species
CUGGUCCGGGUGUGGCAGGGGCAUCAGCUGGAUUGUAGCUUGUUUAGGAGAUUCCCGAGGGCCCCUGGAGGUUCCCGCUGGGGCUCAGCCUCCCAGGGGCCCCCCCAGUGUGGCUUCCCACCUUGCCACCUGAGGUCCCGUUUCUCCAUCUGCCUGGUGUCUUCCCAGAUUUUGAACCUAAGCGGAUCAAUCUGUUGAUGCUUUCCGUAUACAUUGGCAGGCAUGGCACCCCAGGCGCAACAACUCCAGAUGGAAGACAUACUAUUACCCCUCAAAAAAAUUCUACAAAAAAACCAGAUGAGGAACAAAAGGAAACAACUUCAAAGGAGGGAGGCAGCCAUGACACGCCAGCCAUUCCAGGCCAGGCACAGCUCAUCAGCCACACCGCGCCAGGCACACUAUCGCAGGCGCGGUACAGCAGCCAAACCACGCCAGGCUCAGCACGGUAGUCACAGCUUGUCAACCACAUCACGCCAGUCUCAGCACACCCGGCACACCACGCCCAGCACAACACACCAGGCACAACACACCCGACACACCAAGCCAGGCAAACCGUACCAGGCACAGCAUGCCAGGCAAUCCAAGCCAGGCGAAGCACGCCAGAGACACCACACCAGGCAAACCACACCAGCCACACCACGCCAGUCACACCAUGCCAGGCACAGCACCUCAAGCUCAGCCAGCCAGAGACACCAUAGCAGGCCCAGCACUUCAACCACAGCACACCAGGCACAUCAAGCCAGGCACAGCAUGCCAGGCUUGCCACACAAGGCACAGGACACCAAACACAACACACCAGGCACAACACACAAGCCACAGCAUGCCAGGCGCAGAAUGCCAGGCUCGCCACACAAGGCACAGGACACCAAACAGGACACACCAGGCACAACACACCAGCCACAGCACACCCGGCACCACUCAACAGGCACAGCGCAGCUGGCACGGCGUACCAGACACAGCCAGCCAAGUCCACGCUGCGUCUACACUUGCUUUAAGGUAGUAGCAAUCUGCUCUGCUUGGGAAAAGCCUUUCUGAAGGUUAUAAUUCUAUCUUCGCUGCCUGCAAGCUCGAGCCUUUGUUAAUUGAGGAUCUACUAUAUGCAAAGGUCCGGGGUGCAAGAAUCCUUGCCAGUUCUGCUCCAGAUGGAACAGAUACCAAUACUUUAAAAAAACAAAAACAAAAGCAACACUUCAAAGCAUAGAAGCGGACCCAAUCCUGGAUCUUCUAAGAUGGCAGAUCUGAAAGAGACGGUUGAGUGAAAGACCUGGAGGCUGAGAUCCGACCUCCAGAUACAUAGACCCUGCAGAAGGUCCCUCAGCAGGCAGCAGGGGCCCCAACCCUGGCUUGCUUCUUCUCCAGCUUGGCAAAACCCAACCCUGUUGGCUUCGGUGACCUUUCCUGGAUCGCUGGCGGAGUGAGGACAAGCAAGGCUACUGUGUGAAGCCUACUGAAGACCUUGAGGGAGCCACAGUAAACAUUGCAACUGUGUUUGAUGAAGAACUUGGCUUUGGGUCCCGCUAGCAGGAAGAACUCAAACUGGCUUGGCAAGGGCCAGGCAAGCCUGAGGCCAUAGCUUGGCUGCAGGGCCUGGGAAGGAACUGUGAGACUGUGCACUCAAAAGAAACCUGGAGCCUUCUCUCCCAAAGCAGCUACCCACCUUCUUUGUAUCUCUANGCUCCUGCUUGGCUGGAGGUCAUCCUGACGACAGCACACUGGCAUUCCUUAAGAAGAGGAGAAACUUUAAGUAAUCUUUUGGCACGGGGCACACUGGAACCUGCCUCUAAUACCAGAUGUUGAGCUGUUUAAAGCUCGCUGCCCGUGAUGAGGGCUAUUCGAGGGACAAUCCCCAGCAGGUGCCCCGUAGGGGAGGUGGUGGCCUGUGCGGUGGCGUUCAGGAUAAGGAAGCUCCAGCGACUGCAAAAAACGAAAGACUUUUAUUGAAAAAUAUGAAAUGGC